rnacentral:rRNA from 1 species
GACGAACGCUGGCGGCGUGCCUAAUACAUGCAAGUAGGACGCAGUUGCGAACGGGGGAGUAACGCGUAGGUAACUACCUAUUAGAGGGGGAUAACUAUUUGAAACGCUAGCUAAUACCGCAUACUAGUAGAUGGACCUGCGUUGUAUUAGCUAGUAGGUAGGGUAAUGGCCUACCUAGGCAAAGAUACAUAGCCGACCUGAGAAGGGGAGCGGCCAAACUGGGACUGAGACACGGCCCAGACUCCCACGGGAGGCAGCAGUAGGGAAUUUUCGGCAAUGGGGGGAAACCUGAACGAGCAAAGCCGCGGGAGUGAAGAAGGUUUUCGGAUCGUAAAGCUCUGGUGUUAAGGAAGCGGUACUUAACCAGAAAGGGACGGCUAACUACGUGCCAGCAGCCGCGGUAAUUC